rnacentral:rRNA from 1 species
AUACGUAGGGAGCGAGCGUUGUCCGGAUUUACUGGGCGUAAAGGGCGCGUAGGCGGGUAAAUAAGUCAGAUGUGAAAACUAUGGGCUCAACCCAUAGCCUGCAUUUGAAACUGUAUAUCUUGAGGGCAGGAGAGGAAAGUGGAAUUCCUAGUGUAGCGGUGAAAUGCGUAGAUAUUAGGAGGAACACCAGUGGCGAAGGCGACUUUCUGGACUAAACCGGACGCUGAAGCGCGAAAGCAUGGGGAGCAAACAGGAGUAGAGACCCUGGUAGUCCAUGCCGUAAACGAUGAAUACUAGGUGUAGGGGGUAUCGACCCCCUCUGUGCCGCAGUUAACACAAUAAGUAUUCCGCCUGGGGAGUACGGCCGCAAGGUUGAAACUCAAAUGAAUUGGCGGGG